CAGCCGCCACGGUAAUACGUAGGUGGCAAGCGUUGUCCGGAAUUAUUGGGCGUAAAGCGCGCGCAGGCGGAUAGGUCAGUCUGUCUUAAAAGUUCGGGGCUUAACCCCGUGAUGGGAUGGAAACUGCCAAUCUAGAGUAUCGGAGAGGAAAGUGGAAUUCCUAGUGUAGCGGUGAAAUGCGUAGAUAUUAGGAAGAACACCAGUGGCGAAGGCGACUUUCUGGACGAAAACUGACGCUGAGGCGCGAAAGCCAGGGGAGCGAACGGGAUUAGAGACCCCUGUAGUCCCUGUCUCUUAUACA
rnacentral:rRNA from 1 species